GAAAAGUUAGUUUAACACUAAAACAUUAAUUUGUCAAAUUAAAAAUAUUUUUAAUACUUUUCU
rnacentral:tRNA from 1 species